UUGGGACUGAGACACGGCCCAGACUCCUACGGGAGGCAGCAGUGGGGGAUAUUGCACAAUGGGGGAAACCCUGAUGCAGCGACGCCGCGUGGAGGAAGAAGGUUUUCGGAUUGUAAACUCCUGUCGUUAGGGACGAUAAUGACGGUACCUAACAAGAAAGCACCGGCUAACUACGUGCCAGCAGCCGCGGUAAAACGUAGGGUGCAAGCGUUGUCCGGAAUUACUGGGUGUAAAGGGAGCGCAGGCGGGAAGACAAGUUGGAAGUGAAAACCAUGGGCUCAACCCAUGAAUUGCUUUCAAAACUGUUUUUCUUGAGUAGUGCAGAGGUAGGUGGAAUUCCCGGUGUAGCGGUGGAAUGCGUAGAUAUCGGGAGGAACACCAGUGGCGAAGGCGGCCUACUGGGCACCAACUGACGCUGAGGCUCGAAAGCAUGGGUAGCAAACAGGAUUAGAUACCCUGGUAGUCCAUGCCGUAAACGAUGAUUACUAGGUGUUGGAGGAUUGACCCCUUCAGUGCCGCAGUUAACACAAUAAGUAAUCCACCUGGGGAGUACGACCGCAAGGUUGAAACUCAAAGGAAUUGACGGGGGCCCGCACAAGCAGUGGAGUAUGUGGUUUAAUUCGAAGCAACGCGAAGAACCUUACCAGGUCUUGACAUCCUACUAACGAGAUAGAGAUAUGUUAGGUGCCCUUCGGGGAAAGUAGAGACAGGUGGUGCAUGGUUGUCGUCAGCUCGUGUCGUGAGAUGUUGGGUUAAGUCCCGCAACGAGCGCAACCCUUAUUGCCAGUUACUACGUUAAGAGGACUCUGGCGAGACUGCCGUUGACAAAACGGAGGAAGGUGGGGAUGACGUCAAAUCAUCAUGCCCUUUAUGACCUGGGCUACACACGUACUACAAUGGCGUUAAACAAAGAGAAGCAAGACCGCGAGGUGGAGCAAAACUCAAAAACAACGUCUCAGUUCAGAUUGCAGGCUGCAACUCGCCUGCAUGAAGUCGGAAUUGCUAGUAAUCGCGGAUCAGCAUGCCGCGGUGAAUACGUUCCCGGGCCUUGUACACACCGCCCGUCACACCAUGAGAGCCGGGGGGACCCGAAGUCGGUAGUCUAACCGCAAGGAGGACGCCGCCGAAGGUAAAACUGGUGAUUGGGGUGAAGUCGUAACAAGGUAGCCGUA
rnacentral:rRNA from 1 species